AUGCUCUCACUCUCAAGGGCUCCACUUCUAUGCGGCCUCUGAAAGCACCCUUUUCAGAAGAGAAAAUCACGACCGGGGUUAUGAGUUGAGAAGAGGGAGGAGCCCUGACACCACCCUCACCCCACCCAGUUUCAGGAAACACCAGCAUUCACACAAACAGGUUCCCUAUUUUCCCAUAGGAUGGAGGGGCAAGGCAAAAUGACCAUGGAUCCCAGAAAAGGAGCAUCUAGUUGACAGAGCACCUGAACUCCCUCCCCUACCUGAGCACAGAGUCAGCAGAAAAGCCAGAGAAAAACUUCCUCAUCACUCACUGCUCCCUUCCCUGUCUUUGUGCAAUGGGAAGCAGACAGGCUUUCACCCAGCCCUUCACCUGCCAUUCGACGCAUUUCCACCCAACCCUUGGGGAUUGCAUCUGGUUUCUCAAGUCCUCGCUGCUCCUCCCUCCUCCAUCUCUCAUCCAGCCCACGAUCUCCCCUUUGUGGUCAAAGCAAAGAACAGAGUAAAUCCAGGUCAAUAAAGGAGAGUUUUUUCUUCAA